ensembl:lncRNA
CUCCGCCGGCUCAGAGAGCGAGGACCAGAGAGGAGAGAGGUCAGCUCGAUUCAGAGGACAGAAAGAAGAAAGGAAUAACCCGGAGUGGACGGGGACAGGAUGAGCGAGGACAGCCACUCCCACUACAGGCUGGACCCCAGCGAUCGCCUCAACGGGCUGGGACAGAGGAGGAAGAGACCCAAGAAGACGGACAGGGAAUCAGUUGCUGUACGAUGACAUCAUCUUGAUGUUGACGAGGAGGGCGAGAAAAACUAGUUUUGUCCUGCAGAUGGCGAUCUUGCACCGUGUUCAGAGAGCCG